rnacentral:rRNA from 1 species
GAUGAACGCUGGCGGCGUGCCUAACACAUGCAAGUCGAACGGAGAUUACGGACGGAAGUUUUCGGAUGGAAGCCUGUAAUUCUUAGUGGCGGACGGGUGAGUAACGCGUGGGCAACCUGCCCUAUACAGGGGGAUAGCAGCUGGAAACGGCUGGUAAGACCGCAUAAGUCGGUUAAAUCGCAUGAUUUGAUCGGGAAAUGAGCAAUCAGGUAUAGGAUGGGCCCGCGUCCGAUUAGCCAGUUGGCAGGGUAAAAGCCUACCAAAGCGACGAUCGGUAGCCGGACUGAGAGGUCGGACGGCCACAUUGGGACUGAGACACGGCCCAAACUCCUACGGGAGGCAGCAGUGGGGGAUAUUGCACAAUGGAGGAAACUCUGGUGCAGCGACGCCGCGUGAGUGAAGAAGUAUUUCGGUAUGUAAAGCUCUAUCAGCAGGGAAGAUGAUGACGGUACCUGACUAAGAAGCCCCGGCUAACUACGUG